AAAAUGGCAGUGGGGAAAAAAGAUGGCAGUGCAGGUGGAAGAAGGUGGCGGCAGCCAGGCGGGAAGAAAACAAUGGGGGGUGGGAAGCGGUGGGAGGUGGGGUGGCGAACUAGAGGUGCAGAUUCUCUGCUCUUGGCCCAGCUAGUAAUUUAUAAUAGGUAGAAGGAAGAAAGCAUUUAAAUGGUGAUCUCUGUGUGUCUGUGACUAAAUUAUGAUUCUAGUAGAGGUUAUGCUGCUGAUGGUCUCUUUUCCAGAUACAGCUGAAGUUUUAAAAUCCUGCUGCAGUUUUUCCUGCUCAUCAUGUUGCAGUUCCAGUUUAUAAACUAUGUGCUUUAUCUAAGUUUUUCGAUGUAAACAAUCUAAAUUUAUCUUUCAAACAUCUGAUAAUGCUGCUCAGUUCCAGUAUACCCUGAGCCAAUCUUGUAUAUUUACAAAAUAGUUCUAAUAUACCACCACAACAAAAGACAGUUUGCCUUUGUACCUCUGCAUUACUUUGAUUCAAUUAAAUUGUUUUGCGUUAUAGAUAAAAUCAUGAUCAUUAUAAAUUAUCCAUUUACAGUGGACUAUAUUUUAGUUGGCAUUUUGUUAACAUGACAGAUUUUUAGAUCAUAGUACAAUUUGUAGACCUUAAGAAACAUUUUCUAAGCAACAUUAUAAUAAAACUUGUUCACAAAUGUGACCAAUUUGUUGAACCUGAUAAAACAUAUUUAAAUAUUUUUGCCAUCAUACUUCCAAAUCUGACAGCAAUUCUGUGGACUAUAAAGUAAAAAUAAAAUAAGAACUGAAAUUGUUUAUUCUUAAGAUUCUGGUUAGUUUGGUUGUCAUAAUUUUUUUGUUCAGCAUUGAAUUAGCUGAGUUACUUGUAUAAUAAUUAAACAAUGAUGUCAAAAUUUUACUUUUUAUAUAGGAAGAGAUGUAUUUUAACUUGGCAAGUCUCAAGAAUUUUAAUAAUGAGAACGGGUUUUGGUCAUGUGAAAUCUAAUUGGAUUAUAUGAAAGAGAAAAUACAGAAUGCUGCUAAAAUGCAUCCUGUCAAGACAUUAGGUUCAAAUACUUUUUUUCUAGCCUGGUCUGUAAUGGAAGAAAAUGGAGUGGAUCAUGAUAACAACAUGGAAGGAGCCAGUGACUUCUUGAUCAACUCUAAUAAUGCAAAAGAAUUGGGAACAGGUGACCAGGUAUUCCGGCCUCUAACAUACACAGAAACUGGGGACCCAUGCUUUGGACAGAAUGUGUCUCAAGCAGUUCUGCCAGUCACAGUGCCAAUUACGGAAGAUGCUUCUUCAUCACUGAAUGAGCAAAUGCAGUUGUCCCAGCUACCCUCUUUUUCGACAGAACCAUUUCAACUUGUAGACCAGAGUGGCCAUUCCCUUUAUGAAGUACAAUCCUUAGAGGGGUCCAGUACUCAUAUGAUGAUUGUUGCCAGCCAGACUGAAAAUGGGCAAGUGCUACAUGUCAUACCUUCUGCUCAGCCAGGAAUGGCACGAGUCAUUAUCCCCCAAAGUCAGCUUUUGGAUGUCACCAGCUCUCAGGGCAUUUCAGGAGAGAGAAACUGUGAUGGGAAUCUGCGAACUGUGGCAGUGGCAGCAAUAGCAGACAGUACAAGCAGUUACAUCCUUCAUCCUCGAGCAUCUCUUACAGUAUCCAAAAAGACAACAACUAGGAUCCAGGAAGAUACUUUCCCCAUUUCUCCUCAGCCAUUGCCCUCAAAUACACCAAUAUGGGCUCGCCGCCUUAGGAGCUGUGAGAAAAUUGGGGACUCCUACCGUGGCUAUUGUUCAAGCGAGGCAGAAUUAGAGAGUAUUCUAACACUGCACAAACAGCAAACACACAGUGUGUGGGGAACACGCCAGUCUCCAAGCCCGGCUAAACCUGCCACAAGGCUGAUGUGGAAAUCACAGUACGUCCCAUAUGAUGGGAUUCCUUUUGUCAAUGCUGGAAGCAGAGCCAUAGUAAUGGAAUGCCAGUAUGGGCCCCGAAGGAAGGGGUUUCAGCCCAGAAAAGCUGGUGAGCCAGAGAACAGUUCUUGCCAGCUGUACAAAGCCACAUGUCCAGCAAGGAUCUACAUUAAGAAGGUUCAAAAGUUUCCUGAAUACAGAGUUCCCACAGACCUUAAAAUUGAUAAGAAAAUAAUACGAAUGGAGCAGGAAAAAGCUUUCAACAUGCUGAAGAAAAAUCUGAUUGAUGCUGGAGGGGUCCUCAGGUGGUAUGUGCAGUUGCCCACCCAGCAAGCUCACCAGUAUCAUGAAAUGGAGGAGACCUGUCUUCCACCUUCACCACCUUCUGUGCCUUUCUCCGUGCCAUCUCCUGAGGAAGUGGAUGACACAGUCGAGAAUUGCAUUUUGCCAUCACGACUUCACCCACAAGUAGCAGAUAAGAUUAGAGAACUAGUGUCUCAAGGAACAGAACAAGUCUACGCAGUGAGGAAGCAAUUAAGAAAGUUUGUAGAGCGAGAAUUGUUCAAACCUGAUGAAGUACCAGAGAGACAUAAUUUGUCAUUCUUUCCUACUGUUAAUGAUAUCAAGAACCACAUUCAUGAAGUACAAAAGACGCUAAGAAAUGGGAAGAUGGUGUAUAACACAGAAACCAUUCCUGCCAUGCUGCAGUGGACUACAGACAGUGGAAAUGUUCUUACUGAAACAGUGACAGUUACAUUUGCAUCACCACCUACUGAGGGGAGGCAAGCCAGCCUACACUCUGUCAGGGUCCUAACCUUCAAGCAAGUUCCAGUCCAAUACAGAACAACACUACUGCGUCAAUCCAUGAAGAGCAAACUGUACCAGAUCAAAGGGUAGUCACUGUGAAACAGCUUAUAACUGUUGGAAAUAUAGAAGAUAGUAUCGAGCAGGAUGCCUGUCAGAUUAUUUUAGAUGUACAGACGAUUUCUGCACCAAUAACAGGCAAUUGUGCUACUCUUAAAAAUCCUGAGGGCAUUAUCCUCACAGGCUACCUUAAUCAAGAAGCCAAAGGACAAGUAGUAUCCUUGGAGACAGAGACAUUCAGAGACUUCCAGGCUCCAUCCAGUACUUGAGUUCGUAAUAUCUCUUAAGACUGGUAUUGACAAAAGGCCUGCCUUGGAGAAGACAAUGUGAGAUUUGCUGCAAGCUCCAUGCACUGUUCUGUAUUAGACAGCUGCUUUGAUUUACUGCGGCUAUGACUCUCAAUCACUGCCAGUUCCAGAUCACUCAUUUCCCACGUGGAGCUGCUGUUUGUCAUUUUUUGUUGUCGUCCACACUGCAUUCCAACGAAUACAUAAAUUGUUUGUUGUGGUUAGUAUUUUAGUAGGUGUUCCAAAAUCAAACCCCCAUGCUUUCUGACUGUUCCGACUGGUUUUUCUGAAGUCUUCUACUUGUCUUGACAAUCCAAUCUCGUACACAAUGGAAUUUGUCCUGACAGCAGUAGCAAUGGAUUUUUAACAACAAAACUUUUAAACUGGAUGACCAGUAGAAGUAUACAUAGCAUUGUAGAAGAACAAUCUUUCACUUGACCCCUAUAUUUAAACUCCGGUCUUGUUAAUGGCAUUCCUGUCUCAUGCUAUACCCUUUAUUCUGAAGGGGAAACAGCCACAGUGGCUAACAGCAGCCCUUUCAUCUCGUGGUGACUUUUCUGCUGUCCUACCUUUUACUCUUCACACUCAGAGAAGCAUAUAGGAUGAAAAGCUGAGUGUCCCAGUGUGUCUAUUUAUUUUACCAUGUUGUAGAACAGAAUUGUAAGAUCUGUAAUGUGUCUGAAGCUUCAAGAAAUAUGAAGAGGUGCCAUCCAUUAUUCAAGGGGAUAAACUGAGCUUCCUGUGGAUUGUCACAAAAAUGGACUUUAGGGAAGUACAAAAGAGAGUGAGGGUUCAGAAUGAAAACUCUCAAACUGGUGACAAAGGAAGGGUUUCUCUGCAGUAAUUGUUCAAAACUGAAGACAUGGGACUGUGUACCCAACAGAAUUCUGAAUGCACUACUCAUAUUUGCAGGGUUCAAAAAUGGUAAACAUAAUGACCAUUCAUUAUAUGCAUUUAAAGGUAUUUAAACAUGUACAUGUUUAAUUAAAUCUGAUUUUUCCUUACAUUGACACAUUUAGUGCUUAAAUUAGAACUCUGAAGCCAAAGUCAGCAAUAAAGGUUUGAUUGCAAUUUUGCAUAUAUUUUUCAGACGAAAGUCCUGUUGAGUUCAGUUGAUUGGUUAGUUAAGUGUAGGAUUGAUCCACUGUUUUCUGUGCUUUGGAUGCACAUAACAUGUACAGUACAGAGCUCUUCUGAGCACAUAUGAUCCCCAUUCAUUUUAUUAGAAAGAUGCUAUCUGCAGAUCUGCUCUCUCCAAAGAUUGCUGAAUUAUAUUGCGUGGCAUUAGCACGGCAAAUGGUUAACAUACUGUUCGUUAGUAUGAAUAUUGUGGCUCUUCUGUGUGCGCGUGAUUUUGGGUGGGGUUUUUUGAAGAUAUAUUUUUAAGUGGAGAUAUACCACAGAAAUAUGAUCCUUUAAUUACAAACACCAUUGCUCUGUGUGGAUACUUACAUCUUUGUUCUUGAAACAACAACCAGGUGCUGUUUUUUAGUUUGAGCACUGCAGUGAUGGGCAGAAUCACAGCUGAUGGAGUUUUCUUUCUGUGCUUUUCUUCAGUCCCUUGUAGUCACUGUAGGCGCUGUUGGCAAUUGGCAAUUUUGGGGAGAUCCUGUUACAGAUUCAGUGUUCCUUCUUUAUCCUGUUGGUAUAUGGAAGUCAUGGUUUGGAAAACGAGGCAAUAAAUAGGUGACUUACAAUACUCCAGGAUACUUUUUGUUAGAAAAUCUAAAUCAUUUGAUUGCAUUUUUAAAAUCCCAUAUUUGUUAUUGGUGCUAUUUUUUGAAGGUAGUUUUGCAAUGGCUCUUGCUUUCCAUCUGUGGGGUAGGGAUUACUACAGAAUACAGAGGGGUUCCAUCAGAAGUUAAAGUUUACAAUUCUGCAUUUAUUUUCUAAUGAGAAAACUACAUGUCUGUGAUCGUGUUCAGAAUUGUUGCUAUGUAGGUAGUUCAAAGAAAUAGUUUGAUAAUUGGCUAACCAGUAACUAAUGACUUGCAGGUAUCUUUGGACUGCAUAUAAAAAUAACAUGAGUAAUGGAAAAAACCUUCAUCCAUGUUUCUGUCGCAUACUUCAUGUUGCUAAAUUUAAUUUUAAACCUUUCCCUGGCUGCUACUAAAAUUGUGAUUUGCAAAUUAAAUGCCUUUGAAUUGGCCGUAAACAUUGGACACACAAUGAGCUCUGAAUACAUACAGUGAGAUUCUGAACCCUUCUCUCUAGAACAUAGCUCUCUGUGUUACCAGACAAACUGCUCCCAAAACCUGAAGGACUUUAGAAGCGGAACGAAGAGGAACAGAGACAUUUUUUAAUAUUACCAUAAUGUUGUAACUAAACUUUCCUCCUUAUGUGUGUUUUGUAUAAAGAUGACAACAGUUUACACGGAAGAUAAUGUGUGCACAUGCUAACUUUGUGGCCAGAGUGCAAACAGUCAUUUAUAAAUACCUAAAUCCUUGUACACAGUUGGCAACUUGUAAUACUCAAACCUGAAUAACUCUACUUGGAGCUGUGAAGGUGAAUAUUUGAUCAUGUGAAUAUGAAAGUAUUUCUAGUUGUACAAAUUCAGAGUUUUUGUAUUGUAUACAGUGUAUAGUGUUUUGUAUUAAAAUGUAAAGUUUGAGAAUUUUCUACAAAA